rnacentral:rRNA from 1 species
GACAGAGGGUGCAAACGUUGUUCGGAAUUACUGGGCGUAAAGCGCGCGCAGGCGGCCUUGCAAGUCGGGCGUGAAAUCCCACGGCUCAACCGUGGAAGUGCACUCGAAACUGCGAGGCUAGAGUCUUGGAGAGGAAGGCGGAAUGCUUGGUGUAGAGGUGAAAUUCGUAGAUAUCGAGAGGAACACCUGCGGCGAAGGCGGGUUGCUGGGCUGACACUGACGCUGAGGCGCGAAAGCUAGGGGAGCGAACGGG